AUUUUUUUCCUUUUUCUCCCCAAAGUCCCCCGGUACAUAGUUGUAUAUUCUUCAUUGUGGGUCCUUCUAGUUGUGGCAUGUGGGACGCCGCCCCAGCGUGGCUUGACGAGCAGUGCCAUGUCCGCGCCCAGGAUUCAAACCAACGAAACACUGGGCCGCCUGCAGCGGAGCGUGCGAACUUAACCACUCGGCCACGGGGCCAGCCCCGGGUGGAUAUUUGUUCUCAAGGCAUAACACAGCAUGAGCCAACCAAGAAGGAAAGCCACAAGCUGUUAGACUGAGGAAUUGUCUAGGAUCAGGUGAACUGUGUCCAGAAAACCAGUGAGGAAGAUGGCAAAGAGGAAUGAACAACCUAAUUGUUGUUAAUAAAGACGUUUAAAAAUC
rnacentral:lncRNA from 1 species